UACAGAGGUCUCAAGCGUUGUUCGGAUUCAUUGGGCGUAAAGGGUGCGCAGGCGGCGCGGUAAGUCGGGUGUGAAAUCUUGGAGCUUAACUCCGAAACUGCAUUCGAUACUGCCGUGCUUGAGGACUGGAGAGGAGACUGGAAUUUACGGUGUAGCGGUGAAAUGCGUAGAUAUCGUAAGGAAGACCAGUGGCGAAGGCGGGUCUCUGGACAGUUCCUGACGCUGAGGAGCGAAAGCCAGGGGAGCAAACGGG
rnacentral:rRNA from 1 species